rnacentral:lncRNA from 10 species
GAAUUUGACUCCAAAUCCACCCUAAUAUCCAUAGGCAGUUAGAAUUAAUCAGUGCUUCCCACUCAAACCCACUCCAAGUCCAAAAAAAAAAAAAGAAUGAUUAAUUUGUCUAGCUGCAGUCACCAACUUUUUUUUUUUUUUUUUUUUUUGUGGGUGGAGGAGGAUUUCCCCAAAUUUAGGGAAAAAAAAGCCUAGGUUUUUUUUUUUCUGUUGAAAAAAUGGAAUGAAUGAG